CCUACGGGAGGCUGCAGUGAGGAAUAUUGGUCAAUGGACGAGAGUCUGAACCAGCCAAGUAGCGUGAAGGAUGACUGCCCUAUGGGUUGUAAACUUCUUUUAUAAAGGAAUAAAACGAGGCACGUGUGCCUUUUUGCAUGUACUUUAUGAAUAAGGAUCGGCUAACUCCGUGCCAGCAGCCGCGGUAAUACGGAGGAUCCGAGCGUUAUCCGGAUUUCUUGGGUUUAAAGGGAGCGUAGAUGGGUUGUUAAGUCAGUUGUGAAAGUGUGCGGCUCAACCGUAAAAUUGCAAUUGAUACUGGCAGUCUUGAGUACAGUUGAGGUAGGCGGAAUUCGUGGUGUAGCGGUGAAAUGCUCAGAUAUCACGAAGAACCCCGAUUGCGAAGGCAGCUUACUAAACUGUGACUGACAUUGAUGCUCGAAAGUGUGGGUAUCAAACAGGAUUAGAUACCCUUGUAGUC
rnacentral:rRNA from 1 species